CAAUAGCGUAUAUUAAAGUUGUUGCAGUUAAAAAGCUCGUAGUCGGAUUUUGGCAUCAUGCCGAACUGUCAGCCGAUUGGUUUGUACGGUUUGGCGGGUGCUCUCCUUCCGGAGGCUCGUUUCCUCUUUCAUUAGAGGGUUCGAUGGUUCCGGGUCUUUUACUUUGAAAAAUUAAGAGUGUUCAAAGACAGGCCUAUGCUCUGAAUAGGUUAGCAUGGAAUAAUAGAAUAGGACUUUGGUUCUAUUUUGUUGGUUUCUAGGACCGAAGUAAUGAUUAAUAGGGACAGUUGGGGGCGAUUUUUAUUUCCAUUGUCAGAGGUGGAAAUUACUUGGAUUAAACGGAAGAAAAACUAACUGCGAAAGCAUCUGCCAAGGAUGUUUUCUAUUGAUCAAGAACGAAAGUUAGGGGAGUCGAAGAUGAUCAGAUACCAU
rnacentral:rRNA from 1 species